GUAAAGGGCAAUCCUCCUUGGUGAUCCAGGUUUCCAAAGUAUGGUCCAAGGGCAAGGCUUCUCCUGAAGGAACGUGACACAGCCGCAGCUUCUGCCGAGAGAGAAACAAACCACACAGUGACCGGCUAGAGAGGCUGCGAAGUCCACCACCUUCCCAAUGCUCCAGCGGAGGCAGAAGAACAUGGCUUUGCUCUUCUCUUUGCUCCCCUUCGGAAACAAACUGGUUUCUACUGUACUGCUUGGAACCCCGUUCCUGUCAUCCGAGAAACAAGGCUUCUGAUAUAAAACACCUUUUUAUGUGAAUGACUUUACUGCUUAUUGGAUGCAGCAAGACUUUUGAGAACAAAGAAAAAUAUUUAUUAAUAAAACAGGGUUUCAGAGGUGGGAUCUCUACUAUAAUCUGUGCCUUACUGUGUUCUUUGAUUGUAUUUUGUUACUUAAUUAACUUUAUUUUUCUUUAAAAAAAAUAAUAGGGGGAAUAGACUCUUCCCUGAUUGCUAAAAUUUGCUUUAGGGAGAUUGUCUUCACAGGUCACCUCCUGGACAAUAAGUGUUACUCUCAGGGAAGCAUGCCUAACGGGAAAUGCUGGGAACAGCUAGAGCAACCUUAGGCACUAACAGUGAGAUUGAUGCCUAGCUCAGCAGAAAGGAACUCAGACGUGCUGAAGGUCAGUGGGUGUAUUAAAGAUGAAAACCUUCAAAGAGAUCUGCUGGAAGCCUCAGCUCUGGCCCACUUCAUCACCACCAGCGCUGCUCCCACAGGAAAGCAGCAAGAUGACAUAGGAGACGGGCAAAGGAAAACUUAGAGUCUCUAACAAUAUCUGAGAUCAAACACAAGCCAACAGGAAGCUGAAACAGGAGGUUUGCGAGUUUGUGAAUUUAAGAACAGUCUGGGAGACCCAGUGUCUAAGUAAGUAAGUAACAACAACAGAACACAUAAGAAAGAAAACUACAAAAACAAACAACAGGCUGUCAGGGCUUCAGAACAGGUAGUACAGAGCUUAGGGUGGCUAAUGCGGCUCUGGGCGGUCUGAGGGACUGCCUGCCGAGCACUGGCCUGGAAACUGCUCACACGUCAGCACAAAGACAGGCACAAAGCACAGCUGUGCCUCCUUCGCAACACAGCUGAGCUCUCCCACCUCAGGGGCUGCAACUGCAACAACCCCAGAAUCUCUCUAGAUAGAAGCAUCAUUCGGCUCAAGCUGAGAUCUUGAAACCGAUGCUCUGGGUGGGUGGGUUAAAGGAAAAGCAGAAAACUACCAGGGAGGGACUGGGAAGUAAGGGGAGAGAAAAAAGCAGCUCUUCAAAAUCAAAAUGAACUUGUGGAACCAAUAAACUUAAAUCUUAAAAUGAAGUAAUAAACCUAACAGAUCUAAAAAGACAUUAAAGAAAGUUAUUUGGGAUGCAGUGAGAGACAUUAUAUAACAUUUCCCAUAAAAAGGAUCAUGUUAUAAAAUGAAAACAACUGGAAAUAAAACAAGGUGUAGAUAUCCAAGAAGAAAUACAAAAGCUAAAAAAAUGGCUUCAAAAAUAAGCAACUCGAACCAGGUAAAUUUCUACCAUCGUCAGUUAAAGGCAUACAACAGAAUAAAGUGUAGUUACUGAAUGAACUAGACCAUAACUGGGGCACAGAGAAAUACUAAAAAUGGAGGGAAAGUGGGCCAGGAAAGAAGAUCAUGCUCACUGCCACCUCCAGGGGAAACAGGCAGCAGUGGUCUUCAGAGGUGACCCAUGUCAGGUUCACAUUCGUAUUCGAUGGGGGGGAGGAAGAGAGAGGAGGUCUCGGCACAUGUCACACGCUUGGCUCGCUUG